CUCCUGGUAGCCUCAGUGGUAUGAGCGUCGCGACCGGUGUGCCGGGAAGGUCAUAGGUUCGACGUCCUGUUUGGGGGA